CGCCUUGUUACCGUACUCCGUACUCAUUCACCCAUACAUUCAUUGUGUGUGUAUGUGUGAAAAGUUACCAUCACCUGAACCGACCAGAACCAAAGGUGUGUCUGCAUGGCAAGUCGCUCACAAUUUUAACACCCGGUCUAUUCAUUCAUUCAUUCCUUCGUUCAGACAAGCAGACAUAUCCACACGCCUCGUCUUGAACUGUGCUUCAGUCCUGCUAAGGGCCCCCGGCACUCGACCAGACUACAUGUGUUCAAAAAGAUACCACCACCCGAACCGAACCAAACCAGGGGCAUGUUAACCACACCUUUCAUUCGUCCAUUCAUUCAUACAUCCAAUCAUUCACGCAGACAAAGAAAUGUAAGCACACGCGCCUGCCCUGCAGUAGUGUGGCCCGGCACAAUGUAGCUGUAGUAGCUGGUACACAGUAAGCACAGUAAGCUGGUACACGCAUAGCACGACCACCAGCAUCUCGAGAGGCCUUUUCAGCGGCCAGCUACUAACUAAUGCAUGAACGUCACAUAGAGGAAGGUAGCAUAAUACGAGCCGUCAACGAUAGGACCAUCACCGCCAACCGGACUGCGUGAACCUGUCUCCAGUGCGUCACGCAGCACACUGACUGCCUUGACGCUUCCAGUUGAGGGAUCCAUGUCGAGGUCGGCCAACCUGUCUGUCAGUGAAUGGCGGUAAGUCAGCCACAAACCAGUCUGUACCUAAUUCCAGGUUGGAUAGAGCCUACUUGAGAGUGGCGCGCUGGUUCUGUUUGUCCUUGUAGUUGAGAUCCUGGGACGAGAUGUUGACAUGGGGCAUGCGCUUGCUCAGCGCGCGCAGUGCAGGGAAGCUGAUGAGGUAUGGCCCGAUCAUCAUCAUCUUCCGGGGGUUGAUGAGCUGGCGCCUGCAGCACGUGUUACAGUGUCGACAUUGCUGAUCCUAUUUGGUACCAGUCAUUCGCCCGUGAAUGCAUGGCCAUGCUCCUGGCUUUUAAUGUACCCCACAGCAGGCCCGCGUACCUUAGGCGCCAGCCAAUGUGCAUUUGGUCAAUAGUCAGCAUGACGGGUUGGAGCACGGACACCCACGUCACUGCAAGGGGCAAUGUAAAAAGCUACCUCCUCUGGCUGGCGUUGUUGUCCUUUGACGCUGAGACCCCGGAUGAUACCCCGCAGCAACUGUUGAAUUGUGCCGUCAACGAGUCCUGAAUGUCAAUCGAUGUCCGAUGGUUAACAAGUCAAGGCAUGUGUACACGCA
rnacentral:lncRNA from 1 species